GCUGGUGCUUAGCUAGCUGAACCCCAACGCCGGCACCGUCACCGCCGAUGCCGACGCUCCAUUAACUGUGGAGCUAGCUAGGUUAAUCGUACUAGUAAGAGCAAGUAUAAUAGUGAGUUAUAAGCUUACUAUAAGCUUACGUGGAGGAGAGAGAUAACAAAAAAAUCAAGAAUGCUGGCUCUCAUGCAAAAGCUAGCUUAACAUAAACUCCUAAGUAAAUACAUUAAAUGUAUAGGUGAGAGAUAGAGAGAUGAGGAGAAAAUUAUAGCCAACCUUAUAGCUAAUCCACUAUAUAUGUUGGCUUUAAAAUAGGCUAAUAUUAGGAAGUGAGCUCUACUAUUGUCCUGGCUCUAACAAACAGCCGCAGCCACAAUGGUUGGUGUUUUUGGGGCACAGAAAUCAUGGGCAUGAGUGACUUAAUUUCCUAGAUUGAUGGGCAUGGUAAACGUCGGGAAUUCAGUUGCCUCCGAUGGGAUUCUAUGCAGCUUUGGCAUUGCCCUGCCUGGAGCACGGUGCAUCCACAGAUACGGUGUAGCGUGUGCGUUGUCCACUACUUCCUUGUUGGUGCCACACGGCAUACCUGCUCUGGUACAACACGCAGAGCACUGCUUGCUGCGUGCUGACGGUUCGUCUAGUUCUUCCACGUCGUCGAUUCUGGAUGAGUACGUACGGGUCUCUCAAGAGAUGCUGGAUGGUCUGGCCAUGCGUUGGGACAAUUGGACUGAUCUGAUCGAUGGUUGUUCUAUCUUUGGUUGUAUCCUGACUGUAUUGUUGCAAUGUUUCUCUGUUAAGGCUUACACACAAUGGAGUAAAAAAAAAGCGAGAAACUAAAAGGAGAAAAACAAAUAAAACGAAUUAAGGGAAAUUAAUUUGAGCGACAACUUUUACGAUGAUCUGGUAGCUAAAUGACCCUUUUCUCAAGUACAAUUUUAUUUUAAGAAUUUUACCAUACCUGAGAAGGUACCACCAGGUACUAGGAGGUAAAAACUCCAUCUGUCCGUCCAUUCACAAAGGGUAUGAUCGGAAUAGCUUGUGAUAAUCAUCUAGUCCUACACCUGGCAUCGUCUCUUCUACAUCUUCUUCUCCUUCCACAUCUUGUAGUCCCAAACAAUUCCGUCCCACUCUAUAGCUCCGCGACACACUGUUGAGACCUGAAGCACACCGCCAAUGGUUAUAGAGGAGGCUACAAUCCAGGAUCCAGUUUUGGGGCCUCAUCAGGAUGGGAAUAGUGGGAGGGCAGGCGACGCUCGUGAGGUGAGUUCAUGUGCCACCGACACCUCUGAGGGGGUGGUUUGCUGGUGAAGAGGAGAGGCAGCAAACAUGGACAGACGGAGCUCGCCAAUGAUUCAGCUAGUGGAAUGGAAAAGGAUGAACAAAAGAAAGAGCAAGUAAAAAAUGGAAAGAAGGGCUCGCCUGAAUUCGGGAAGGAGAAUGGUGGAUUCCUUCCAUUGUGAUGAUGAGGAUUGGGCAUUUUUGCUGUUUGAGCACCAUGUCCUGUACUCCUGUACGUCUUCAAUGGUGAUAGACUAUCUAACAGUUCGGAUCAAGCUAAUAACCAGAAAAACAUAUUCCUGGUCAUUAAUCCAAUGUUAUCUCAACUAGAAUUUUCAAAUACUCGGCUCUAUCAUUGUGGAUCAACUUCUUUAGGUACAUGAAAGCACUAAAUUUCCAGACAAUAUAGCUCAUGCACCUCUGGUUCGCAUGGUUCUUGGUGCCACCAAGACUAGGAGUUGACCCCAAGCAGAGAGGGCACUGAAUUCGCAGUUGCUGCUGGCCUCGGCUUCAUAACUGAUGGAUGCUGGGUGGCGUCCCCCUCCUCUUUAUUGCACAACCAGGACAGCUGACAUGGCAACGCAUGACUUUGGAGGUGUCCAGAGCAUAAAAGGGGGUGGUAGGUCCCAGCUCGGUCUGAACCGCGGCUGCAGCGGUGUAUUAUCGAUGAGGGGAGAAGUGCUAAAGCAGAGGUUGCCGUUUUGCGAGAGUGUCAGUGACAGCGGAAGGAGAGACAGCCUGAGAGGACGAGAGAGAGCUAGCGGAGAGGAGGUAGUGUUGGUGGGAGGAUAAGAAAACAAACUAGAGCAGCGUGGGGGUGGGGGUGGGGAUUGGCGACGGGAGCGGACUGGGGAGGAGGAACAACGCCAUGGGAGGAACGACACCGGCGUCCACCAUCAAAUCACCUCCCUCAAGCUCGAGGAACUGGAAGCAUCGGGGAGGGCGAUCGAUCACUUCUUCAUGGAUAGGGCGAGGUCAUUGGCUGAGAGGGAGGCCUCGACGAACUUGCCGAUGGUGAACUUGUCGGCCGCUGCAGAGCGCACUGUAGCGCGCCGUCCUGACCAAAGGCCUCUGCAUCCACAAGCUGAGGAUGAAGGUGAUUUGGGAUGGCACCGAGAGGUGCGAGAUGAAGAUGGUAAUUACCAGAGGAUGACGUGUGGGACCAAGGAUAUUUUAUAAAUAAUUGUUUUCUUCAUUUGUAGAUCGGACUGAUCUGGUGAAAUAGCUGCCGCACAUAUUUUGUAAAUACCGGUUACUUUACACCUGAACUUCUUCCACGGUAUGGAAAACUCCUGGUGUAAAAAGUUUAGGGUGUAAAGUAACCGAUAUUAGAGUUUAGUGGUGAAAAUCGAAUUACCGACAUCAAACGUGGUCUUUGAAAGUUGAAAUGUGGUUACUAAAAGUCAUUAGCACUACUUUCUAAGAGGACUCGCGCGCUAAUUUAAAUGGUAGCCAAAUUUAAAGAGGUGGAGCGCACCAA